rnacentral:rRNA from 1 species
CACCGCGGUUAAACAAUAGGCCCAAAUUGAUAAAUUCGGCACAAAGGGUGGUUAAUUUAACUAAAACUAAAGUAGAACCUCUUCACCGCUGUCAUACGCACCCGACUGAGGGAAUUUCAACAACGAAAGUGACUUUAAAACUAUGAACCCACGAAAACUAAGAAA